rnacentral:rRNA from 1 species
GCCCUUACACAUGCAAGUCGAGCGAGAAAGUUUCUUCGGAAACGAGUAAAGCGGCGGACGGGUGAGUAACGCGUAGGAAUCUACCAUUCAGUGGGGGAUAGCUCGGGGAAACCCGAAUUAAUACCGCAUAUACCCUAAGGGGGAAAGAGGGCCUAUCCUUGGAAGCUCUUGCUGUUUGAUGAGCCUGCGUGAGAUUAGUUUGUUGGUGAGGUAAUGGCUCACCAAGGCUACGAUCUCUAGCUGGUCUGAGAGGACGAUCAGCCACACUGGGACUGAGACACGGCCCAGACUCCUACGGGAGGCAGCAGUGGGGAAUAUUGGACAAUGGGGGCAACCCUGAUCCAGGCAUGCCGCGUGUGUGAAGAAGGCCUUCGGGUUGUAAAGCACUUUAGGUAAGGAAGAAAAGUCAUUGGUUAAUACCCAAUGACCAUGACAUUACUUACAGAAUAAGGACCGGCUAACUCCGUGCCAGCAGCCGCGGUAAUACGGAGGGUCCAAGCGUUAAUCGGAAUUACUGGGCGUAAAGCGCGCGUAGGCGGUUUGACAAGUUGGGUGUGAAAUCCCCGGGCUUAACCUGGGAACUGCAUUCAAAACUUUUAAACUGGAGUACGGGAGAGGAGAGUAGAAUUCAUGGUGUAGCGGUGAAAUGCGUAGAUAUCAUGAGGAAUACCAAUGGCGAAGGCAACUCUCUGGACCGUAACUGACGCUGAGGUGCGAAAGCGUGGGUAGCAAACAGGAUUAGAUACCCUGGUAGUCCACGCCGUAAACGAUGACAACUAGCCGUUGGACUUUCGGGUUCAGUGGCACAGCUAACGCAUUAAGUUGUCCGCC